rnacentral:RNase_MRP_RNA from 2 species
GCGCCGCCCGAAGAACCGCCGUCGCAGCUCACGCACAGAGGCUGCGCCCUCGCCCUUCCGCUGCGGGGAAAGUCCCCGGAGACGCAGAGUGCGUCCGCGCCCGCUCGUUUCGGAAAGCGACCGUCCCCAAGACCGACGGUGACGGUACGCGGCGCGGACAGGCGGGGAGUCGUCUCCUCAACCAAGCCGCUCUGCCGCCCGUUUGCGCGUGCUGCGAAGCCGCCGCCGCCGGGGCGCGAAGAUACGAGCGCCCCGGCGCGCGCGCGCGCGCGCGCCGGGCGACGCGUUGCUCAUAGACACAGUUAUGCGGUUGCGGCGGAACUCGUUUCGGCCGCGAACACAAUGGGGCUUACUCUCGCGCGGCG